rnacentral:rRNA from 1 species
GAGGAAUGUAUAGCAAUAGCUACUUGUAUCAUAGUAGAAAUGAUGCAAGCUCGACUAUGUUGAAUAAAAUUCUAGGUAGAAUUAUGAUAAUGACAUUGUCUGCCUAUGUGUCUUGACCAAAUUACGUGCCAGCAGUCGCGGUAAUACGUAGAAGACUAGUGUUAUUCAUGUUUAAUCGGUUUAAAGGGUACCUAGACGGUGGAUCAAGCUUUUCUAAAUCAGAAAAAGGACUAAUUCGCUAGAGUUACUUACGAGGGGGCAUUAAAGUACUGCUGGUGUAGAGAUGAAAUUCUGUCAUACCUCUUUUCGAAAGAAAAAUGAUGGCACAGGUAUAGGCGAAGGCAUCCCCUUAUGUGAUAACUGACGUUGAGGGACGAAGGCUUCGUGUAACAAACAGGAUUAGAUACCCUAGUAGUUGAAGCAGAAAAUGAUGAAUGUCAUAGAUUAGAUGUUUAAGUUUAUUCUAUAAAUGAAAGUGUAAGCAUUCCACCUCAUGAGUAAUUUGGCAACAUUGGAAUUGAAAUCAUUAGACCGUUUCUGAAACCAG